AAACGCUUUACCACCCCACACAAGGUUACGAAACAGACGCCAUUUUGGCUCAACUGUGCGUCGCUAGCGUGGGAAUUUCACACUCCUCCAGCGUAUCAUUGAGCCAAAAUGUCCCUCCCUUACUGCAGCUCGUAGUAACCUUCUCCAUUAAACCUUCGGGGGAGGGAUAUACAAGAGCUGUCGCACAAACUACUUCUUCCUUCACUUCUGUGGAGCACAGGAAAAUGGCCUAGCUGUGACUGGAGAUAUCCUGCAGAUGUCAAAAACAUUGUCGCUUGCUUACAUGACACAAAGUAUGUUGGAUUUUUCCCGCGGAGUUUCAUGGCUGAAUCGUGCGUGAAGAUGAUGAUGAUGAUGAUUAUGGGGAUUCCACCGAUUUGCCUGUCCAAUGUGUGUGAAACUGGAUGAGACAAGGGCUCUAUCAGGAGCCUUUGUGCAGAUAUACCUGCAGUUACUGAAGAGGACCUCUGGGCAGGUUCACGCGGCACUUGGCAGGGUGGAGUUUUUUGACCCAUGGAGAAUUACUUUCAGGCUGAGGCCUUUAACUUGGACAAGGUGCUGGAUGAGUUUGAACAGAACGAAGAUGAAACGGACACGCCGACUCUCUCGGAUGCCAAGUGGACCCAGAUUCUCGCCCCGCCAUCACACCUCCUUUCCCUAAAUCCAGCACUGACCCACUCCGAUCUCAGCCCAAGGGACAGUCCUAUCAGCUUCAAGCCGCUUGUAGAUGCCCAGACGUCAGAUGGCCCCUCUUUGGCUGAGCUCACCAGAUUAGAUGGGAAACAGGGGGUGGGGCAUCAGCCAGAGGGUAGGAGUGAAGAACGGCCAGCAGAUGUCCACAGUCCUCCUCUGCCUCAGCCCAACAUUGGCAAGCUGGUGAGCACUGAUGGGCAGUUGUCAGACUUGCCAUCGUCCAACAGAGUGGUGCUGGAAAACGGUUAUCCAUCUAAUCCUGAUCUUAGUGAUCGCACUGACGUUCUUUCAGUCAACGAAGAUGAGACAUGUCAAACUGUUAUGGAUGAGCAAAGUGUUAAGGACACUGGUCCCCAAGAGUUUAAAACUGAACAGAAUGGUACUGAUGAGGGAAGUGGUGGUGGUCUUCAAGCUUUCACUGUUCUCGAGGAAGAGUGUGGGAAUGGGCCACCAGUUUUGAAUAAUGAUGUUAAGAUAGAGGGAACCCAGUCUGACAGUGGUUCACCUGUCCGUGAAGUCGGAAUGAGCAACUGCAAUCUGGUAUUUCCAGAAGGAAGUAAUCCCCAGAAAGGGGAACUGGAUUGUGAGAGGGAGAAUUGUGAGGGUGCCUUUCAAAAUGGCGGACUGGUUGAGAAUGAAAUUGCAGGGAAAGACACCUGGGCAUCAAAUCAGGAAGAGAAAGAGAAAAUGAUAGAGAGUGACCACGAGGGAAUGCACAGAGACUCUGAAUCAUCAGGGGCGGAGAAGUCCCUUUCCAAUGGUCUGAUUGUGGAUCAUGGUGGAGAUGCGCAAAGCCAGUCAGUGGUCCCUUCAAAGGAGGACUCUGUGAUGGAGGAAAAAGAAAUGGAGGAAAGCAAACAAGAGUGUUGUGAUUCAGUUCGAGGACUGGAAUCUGGCAGAAUGGGCAAACUCAACAACAGCCGGCUGCAGCCUGUCAGCGUUCCCUAUGGUGGUGCCCGCCCAAAACAGCCUGUCAGUCUGAAGCUGCAGAUUCCCCAGCCUUUCUCAAGCCAAGUCCAGAAUGAAUUUGGCUCCACUGGCAAGAACAAGAACCUGGAGCCACAGAGUAGGGCAGGAGGCCUUGAGGUGUCUUGUGGAGCAACUGAGACUGGGGUUGUUCGAAUGAAUGGAGAGAAUGGAGAUAGCUUUUCUGGCUUACUCAUCCCUUUUGAGAGUCCAGACAAUGACCUUCAGGCAGGACAGCAAUUGAAGAAACCCUUCAACUCUUUGGGGGAAGUGGCUCCUGUUUGGGUUCCUGACUCCCAAGCACCCAUUUGCAUGAAGUGUGAGGUCAAGUUCACCUUUACUAAAAGAAGGCAUCAUUGUCGGGCUUGUGGCAAGGUGUUCUGUGCUGCUUGUUGUAGUCUGAAAAGCAGGCUGAUGUACAUGGACAGGAAAGAAGCGAGGGUUUGUGUUACCUGCCAUCGUGCACUUAUGAAUGUUCAAACAUGGGAGAACAUGGGAGGAGGUUGCAACCAGAGCCCAAAUCCCAACAACCCAGCUGAGUACUGCUCCACUAUUCCCCCUCUGCAACAAGCCCAGGCAUCAGGAGCACUCAGCUCCCCACCCCCAACCGUAAUGGUGCCCGUUGGUGUCCUGAAACAGCCAGGAUCUGAAGGCUCUGUUCCUCGAGAGCAAAGAAGGGUUUGGUUUGCUGACGGCAUUUUACCAAAUGGGGAAGCUACAAACUCUUCUAUAGGGCCGGCGGCAAACCCCAACCCCACACAGCCUGUGGCAACGUCCCAGUACUCAAACAAAUCCUCAGGAGCCAAUGCUUCUGAGGCGGCCUUUGCCACUGGAGCCCCGACGGUCAGCCCUGUGGGGAGCUCUCUCAGUCUGAUCCCAGAGGACGGACUUCCUCCCAUCCUCAUCUCCACAGGCGUCAAAGGAGGUACGGGAGGCCACAUCACAGACUAUGCUGUGGAGGAAAGACCUUCAGAGAUUGUGCUGAUACAGCAGCUUGAGGAGGGCGGCCCUGAUCCCCUGGUGUUUGUCCUCAACGCCAACCUGCUGGCCAUGGUCAAACUGGUCAAUUAUGUAAAUAGGAAGUGCUGGUAUAUGACAACAAAGGGUAUGCAUGCCGUGGGCCAGGCAGAGGUUGUAGUGCUUCUACAGUGCCUUCCUGACGAGAAAACCAUUCCCACGGACGUCUUCAGCCACUUCGUCCAGCUGUACCAGGAGGCUCUCACAGGAAAUGUGUUAAGUCACUUGGGCCAUUCCUUCUUCACUCAGAGCUUCCUGGGCAGCAAGGAACACGGCGGCUUCCUUUACAUUAGCCCCACCUUCCAAACCCUGCAGGACCUGCCUUUGCCUAACCCACCCUACCUCUUUGGCAUCCUUGUGCAGAAGUGGGAGACCCCCUGGGCCAAGGUCUUUCCCAUCCGACUCAUGCUCCGCCUAGGGGCGGAAUACCGAUUCUACCCCUGCCCACUAUUUAGCGUUCGUUUCAGAAAACCCCUCUUUGGAGAGACUGGUCAUACCAUUAUGAACUUAUUGGCAGAUUUCCGUAACUACCAGUACACCUUGCCAGUGGUGAAGGGGCUGGUGGUGGACAUGGAAGUGAGGAAGACGUGCAUCAAGAUACCGAGCAACCGUUACAAUGAGCUCACGAAGGCUAUGAAUAAGUCAAACGAGCAUGUGCUGGCAAUGGGAGCAUGCUUCAACGAACGGGCGGAUUCCCAUCUUGUAUGUGUUCAGAACGACGAUGGAAACUACCAGACGCAGGCCAUCAGUAUUCAUCACCAGCCUCGCAAAGGUGCACCACGGACACUUGAAUUUGCAAAUGAAACCUUAAAGCCGUACCCACAGAUUUCACGCAUGACUGGGGCCUCCUUCUUUGUGUUCAGCGGGGCUUUAAAGUCUUCAUCGGGCUACUUGGCUAAGACCAGCAUUGUGGAAGAUGGCGUGAUGGUGCAGAUUACAGCUGAAAUGAUGGAGGCCUUAAGGCAAGCCCUGAGAGAGAUGAAAGAUUUCAGGAUUGCCUGCGGGAAAGCUGAUCAGGAGGAGAACCAGGAGCACGUCCAAAUCCAGUGGGUUGAUGAUGACCACAAUGUCAACAAGGGUGUGAUCAGCCCCAUUGAUGGAAAAUCCAUGGAGUCAGUCACAAGUGUUAAGAUCUUCCAUGGCACUGAGUAUAAAGCCAAUGGGAAAGUCAUCCGUUGGACAGAGGUGUUCUUCCUGCGGAGUGAGGACCAGACCAAUGGUCUGAGCGAUCCUGCGGACCACAGCCGAGUAACUGAGAAUGUGGCCAGGGCUUUCUGCAUGGCCCUGUGCCCUCACCUCAAACUUCUCAAAGAGGACGGCAUGGCCAAACUGGGCCUGCGGGUCACGUUGGGCUCAGAUCAGGUGGGCUACCUAGCAGGCAGUAACGGUCAGCCGCUGCUCCCCCAGUACCUGAGUGAUCUAGACAGCGCCCUCAUCCCAGUGAUCCACAGCGGGGCCUGCCAGCUAAGUGAAGGGCCUGUGGUGAUGGAGCUCAUCUUCUACAUCCUGGAGAUCAUCUCCUAAAACGAGGGAAUCCGUCCAGUCUCAGACUCAUGCCUCCCACCAGCUCGAAUCCCUCUUCGCUCUCUUUCUCUCAUUUGCACUUCAAAGAACCUGAAAGCUGUGCAGGAACAAGUCCUCCAUACCACCUAUGCACCAUCUCCACUGGGACGCCCUCUGCCCAGCCCCGCUGAAUGUGGUGCUCUCUUUCGUUUCUUCUCACCUCUCAACUCCACUGUGGAAACCAUAGCCCCUUUUGAGUCAAAAGGGGUGGCGACCCUGAAUUCGAUCUCUACAAAACCGUUGUAGCAACACUAAGCUCCUCAAACACAAGAGGGCGCUCUACACGCUCAGUACUAAUGGAGACGACCGACAGAAGGGAAGGUGUGCUCCAUGAAAUGGUUUUGGGUCACAGUGCAUGGGCCUCAAUAAGAAACGAAGAAAGAGUUUCAGUCUCGCCUCUAAGCUUUAUGAAUCACCAGAUGCUUUAUUUCAUGAAUAUGGACCUUAUUUUGUUUAAAACUGCUCUAAAGCUAAAAUGAUGUAGCUUCCUCAUAGAUGGGCUGCUUUGCAUGGUAGCGGAAAGAUUGUGGAACAGUAUUAGGAAUGUUGACGAUUGAGUUACUGUUAAGUAAUGUCAAGAACGGACCUCUGUUAUAGACUUUAUUAUCAUUACAAGACAAUAAGAACCAACGAUAAUUUCAAGCGGCCUUCAGGAAUUCAACUGUAACUUCAAGAUCCACAUAAUGAUGGCCUACGCUUGAUGAAUGAGGACAGCAGCUGAUAUGAAGAUCCACAGCAAGUGAACCUCACAGCCCUUUAUUAACAGUUCAACAGUUGAGACAUAAAUCAUGUGUUUUUGGCUUUUGGUGAAGAGCACCGACAGCUUUGGAAGCAGACUGUUCAUGAAAAAUAAAUGGCAUUUCAUGAAAGCUGCAUUGUCUUCCCACUAACACAGCUCAAAACAGCCUUUUGUUACUCCCUGUAUUCACCUUUGUCAUUGUUUUUCUACCUGUGCAGUAUUGUAUAUCUUGACAUUUAUGUAUUUUGUUAACCAUGGCCUUUUUCCAUGUAAUUUCUUUUUGUUUUUUUUUUGACCAGCCCAAAGCGUGAUACAGCAUGCAUGCUGAAACCAACAAGAACAUGUAGUUCUCCAAAAAUCUUUGCAUUUUGACAGCAUUUCAGAGGAUGAUCUGCUCGAAAGAACAGUUUUACAUUCUAUUGAUUUGAUCUGUGAUGAAACACUGUCAAAACCUGACAUGGGUGGAAUGGGAAUAAAUUUGCAAUGUACGAAAAGGAAAAAAUACAACUUUUCUUUAUUGUACACUACAUAUGUCAAUACAAGCAGUCUUUAUCAAA